AAUGCCUAGGAAUCUGCCUGGUAGUGGGGGAUAACGUUCGGAAACGGACGCUAAUACCGCAUACGUCCUACGGGAGAAAGCAGGGGACCUUCGGGCCUUGCGCUAUCAGAUGAGCCUAGGUCGGAUUAGCUAGUUGGUGAGGUAAUGGCUCACCAAGGCGACGAUCCGUAACUGGUCUGAGAGGAUGAUCAGUCACACUGGAACUGAGACACGGUCCAGACUCCUACGGGAGGCAGCAGUGGGGAAUAUUGGACAAUGGGCGAAAGCCUGAUCCAGUCAUGCCGCGUGUGUGAAGAAGGUCUUCGGAUUGUAAAGCACUUUAAGUUGGGAGGAAGGGUUGUAGAUUAAUACUCUGCAAUUUUGACGUUACCGACAGAAUAAGCACCGGCUAACUCUGUGCCAGCAGCCGCGGUAAUACAGAGGGUGCAAGCGUUAAUCGGAAUUACUGGGCGUAAAGCGCGCGUAGGUGGUUUGUUAAGUUGGAUGUGAAAUCCCCGGGCCCAACCUGGGAACUGCAUUCAAAACUGACUGACUAGAGUAUGGUAGAGGGUGGUGGAAUUUCCUGUGUAACGGUGAAAUGCGUAGAUAUAGGAAGG
rnacentral:rRNA from 1 species